rnacentral:rRNA from 1 species
GACGAACGCUGGCGGCGUGCUUAACACAUGCAAGUCGAACGGUGAAGCGCCUUCCUUUUUGGUGGGUGUGGAUGAGUGGCGAACGGGUGAGUAACACGUGAGUAACCUGCCCCCUUCUUCUGGAUAACCGCAUGAAAGUGUGGCUAAUACGGGAUAUUCUGGGUCUGUCGCAUGAUGGGUCUGGGAAAGAUAUUGUUUCGGUGGGGGAUGGGCUCGCGGCCUAUCAGGUUGUUGGUGGGGUGGUGGCCUACCAAGGCGGUGACGGGGAGCCGGCCUGAGAGGGUGGACGGUCACACUGGGGCUGAGACACGGCCCAGACUCCUACGGGAGGCAGCAGUGGGGAAUAUUGCACAAUGGGCGCAAGACUGAUGCAGCGACGCCGCGUGAGGGAUGGAGGCCUUCGGGUUGUGAACCUCUUUCGCCAGUGAAGCAGGCCUGCCUCGUUUGUGGGUGGGUUGACGGUAGCUGGAUAAGAAGCGCCGGCUAACUACGUG